rnacentral:lncRNA from 1 species
CUCCCACUGCCCUACCACUGAGCCGCACCUCCCUCCCCUUCUAAAAAUGCCCCAUCUGUUGUGUCCAAGGACUAGUCACCAGUCACAUCUAACCAUAUCAACCACACACACAAGACACAGAUAUACGUGGUUCGGCCAAUCUGCCUACGUCACGGAGAGGAACCAGAAUUAACUAGCUCAAGAAUAAUUAUUAUGAGUUUACAAUAGGGAGGAGCUCAUCUCCACUCACCUCUCAGCACUCUCUCAUCUCUCACCAUCUCUCACUGUCUUGGCUCCUCACAGCAUUACCAAGUCUAGCCCACACUUCUCUUCACGAUCUCUCGUGCUCCCUCGGUGCUCUCCACUAGUACCAUAAGCACUCCUCCCCUCAAACACACAACCCUCACUCCCAGCCCCUUCUGCACGACAGGAAACAACAUGCCGGUUGUGCUCCCGGUAAUCCCCAAGGAUUAAUAUUUUCUAAUUUCUGCUUCUCUCUUCUUCCUCUCUCCUGACAACCCUCUCAUCCAUAGAGAAGAGAGAUGAGCUUAGCCAUGAAGCUCAUACAUGCCCACCAUUUGAGACUUUCGGGGAAUAGAGGUGGCCUCCAUCUGUACUUCUUCUGCAGCCUUCUUUGACAGAUACUGUCAGAGCCUCCUCUUUUCUAUCUCUUCUCUUCUUUCUUUCUUCCUCUCUACCUCUUUUAAUAUGAAUUCACGAUUCAGAUUGGGCUUGGGCUUCCAUGGGCUUUGGGCUUUCUCUUGGCUUGGGAUUUUGUUCUUGUUUUGGGCUGGGCCUCCAUCUUCACUGGGCUGGAUCAACAAUCCUUCCGCCCCUCUAGCCCAUUGGAGGGUACUCUGAAUUCUUCAGUUAUCCUCCCGUAACUUUUGUCCAGCCCCUGUAAAAUCUACAAUACAUAUCCGAGAUGCGUUCUCUCAAAUCCACUAGCAACUCACUUCCCACUGAUGAAUGCACUCCAAACUGAAGUCCUGCACCUUCUCACUUAGGUGCCCGCUCUCGCCCACCGUUGCACUCUGUCAAGUACGUCGCUUUGACCCAAGUCGUCGUGACUCCAGCUCUCCUCCCUGUGGGCACACCUGGAGAGACCACGUCACUUAUAGAUAGAGCGAACUAGACCUCGUUUUCGGCGUCGUUUCGCGCCUGUCGCUGUACAACUCCUCUAAAUUGAGUCUGGUCUCCUUCCUCUGAGCUUCUCUAUGGAUAAUCCUUGCAUUGGUUGCAAUUGCACCUUCUCUCGUGUUGAGCCAGACUCUCACAUUUCUCAAAGCAUCUCCCUUGCGCUGCCUGUACCACUCUGGAUCCUUCAGGACAUCCUUUCUGUAUCCCUGCGCUUGCUUGCGUGCCUAUGUGCAAACAUUUGCUUUUCUCUCCAUUCUUCUUCGCAGUACAUUGGGCCUAUUCGGACAGCGCGUCCUCUUGUCUGUACACUCCCCUCCAGUUGGUAUAGCCCUUCACUCUUCCUUCUCCUUACAACAGCAUUUUCGUUUCCCUCCUUCCUUGGAAACUCUGAGUGUUUCUCUUCUCCCUACUCAAAGCUUCAAUCGUUUCGAAUCUUACAUCUCAAUGAACAUGCCUUACCCUCGGUCCACCUUCAAUGGAUCUCCCCCGUCUGCCAUGCGUAACUGGACCCUGUUCCUUUGCUAACCACUCUUCGUCGUGUUGUUCGCCAUCCGUACAAGUCCCUCGCAUUGACUAUAUAUUGUGUAGAAAAACACCUCUCCUGUCUCUGGCAUAAUGGUAAGCAAUUUCCUGAAUCAGAAAUCCUAAUCCGAACUCUUCUCUACCGAUACUGCUAUGAGAACACACGGCGCAUCCAUACCAUCAUUGAUGUUGUUGCUGCCGUCUGAAGACUGAUCUUGUGCUUUGGUUCCUUGGACAAUUCUUCUUUGUCCCUCGUGGUCGCAUAAAAAAACACUUAAAGUGCGACCGCUGGAUUUGCCCUCCGCCAUCAUCUGCCGGUAUGCGUCUUCCUUGACCUCUUCAUCUAAGCUCUUUUCCUUGACUCUGUGACCUCCUUCUUGAGACCUCUUCUCUUCUGGCCGCUUCUCCUACCUCUUCAUGGUGGGCCAUCUUCCUCUGGAACUCCCGCUCGUUGUUUCCGCCACAUAUCCCUCUCUGAUGUUUCAAUACAAGCCUCCUCAUUAAAGCUUUGUUCUGAGAUUUUUUUUUCGGUACAUCUCCUUCGAACUUGGUCCAUCAACCCAUGAGCACUCGUCUCAUCGUGCUACAAUGUUGGAACACCCAUGUGGUUCCAUGCAUUAUCUGAUCUGCAACACUCCAUUCUCAUCGUGCUAAAUGAUGGAACACCUUUGUCCCGCUUUUGUCCUGUAUCUGCCAAUCGUCUUCUUGUUCAUCUCCUUCCGUUGUCCUUUAUUCUUGGUUUUUCACAGGCGCAAUCAUGUAGCUGAAAGCGUGAUCAUAGCUCAUGGAAAGCUGUCCUUCAUAUCCGACGUGUCCCAAUUUUUAAUUUGAGGUAAAGGGUUAUUUGUUUGGGUUUACUUUGGGUUUUGUUGUUAAUAGCUUAUAUAAAGUCUAUUGAGACUAUUUUUUGUAUUAACUUGAAAUGGAAAAAGUUUAGUUUUGAAUGAGCAUAUUUAUUUUUUGCUAAAAUUGAAAGAUAGAAUGUUAGAAAUUGUAUUUAAAUUAUUUUGAUUUAAUAUCAGAUUUUAUUGGGUCAAAUUAAUACCAUAAAUGCUAUGAAAUAUUUGACGACCUAAUUGAUUGAUAAAGGUGAUUUUUUAUGUAUAAUUGGUGAAAGUGAAUUGUUAAUAAAAAAGUUCCAAAAAGCAUUACUUUGGGUUAAAAAUGAAAUUUGGAAUUGAGAAAAAUGAGAAUUGUCUUUAGGAAAUGACACGCUAAAAUAUAUCGAAAUUAGAUGGCUUAGAUAAGCACAGAAUAAAGUCUACAUGGCAAAGAUACGGAGGGAAGUUAGAGCCACGGUGAAAGUCCCGAAAGUUGACAAUAAAGUCCCCCCUAGAUUGAAAAGAUACGAGGUAAUGUCAUAUAGCCACGGUUAAGUCUCGGGAAGUGCAAAUGAAAGUCCUAGAUGGCAACAAUACGGAGGGAAUUCAUAGCCCACGGGAAAGUCCGGAAAGUUGACAAAUAAAAGUCCUAGAUGGCAACGCUACGGAGGGAAUAUCAUAGCCCACGGUGAAAGUCGAAGUUGACAGGGUGUUAUCUUACGUACUUAGUGCAAAUGAGGAUUGGUUAAGUAUUGAUUUAGGUGUGUUAUUCUAAUUAUUGGAGUAAUGCCUUAUGAGAAAAGUUGAUUUUUUUGGGAAACUUGUUAUUUGAGAAAUCACGAUUUAAUCAACAAAAGUAUCUUUUGAUAUAAAUGAAAGCAUACUUUAACUGCAUCAUGGUUUUCAUAGUAUAUUGAUGUAUCAUGGUUUUGGCUUGAAACAAUAGUUCAUUGUUAAUUUUUCAGGUAACUCAACCUUUACUAUAAAACAAGAUGUUUCCAGGUACCGAGGGUUAUCCUGAGUUUUGAGGCAUGUGGAUGCUGUUGUGCUGUUUAAUUUGAUAAACAUAUUAAGUUGUAAUUAGAUGUUUGUAAUAUUAUUUCCGCACUCUGAUUAAAUGACAUGUAUUGUCCUUUUUUUUGUUUGCUUUUCACAUGUUGAGUUGUUUGCCUUACGUGGCCCUGGUCUUGGGUUUGACCGGGGCGUGACAAACAUGGUAUCAGAGCUCUAGGAUCGAAUACCUAUGAGCCGUGGGGUGGUUAGACCACGUUUGGUUUAAAUGCCUAAAAAUUUAAGGGGUAACAUUGUGUGCUAUCAAUGUGAAGAAGUAACAUGAACAUAUACUACAUGUUAUUAAAAUGCUUAUGGUAUAGCAAAUGUUAUGACUUAAUCAUAAAUGAGUAUGAUUAUCUUAUUGUUUUUUUUAUGGCAUUUUGUAAACCAUGCCACCACGCAACGCGAGAGUUCUUGCGAGUCACUUACGGAGCUCGUGGGGCAUGUGGAACCACGCGGGCCGUAGGAAUCUUGAUGAGGGAGAUGAUCACCAGAGUCGGUGAAUGGGAGGAAGGGGGCAAAAGUGAUCCUGUAGAAAAUUAGUGAAUGUUGGAGGUGCUUCCACCGACGACUUUGGGUGGCCGCCGAAUUUUAUGCAAGGAGUGUCACCGCCAUUGAGCAAGUGGUGAGAAGCAACUGUGCAACUAGCAGUGUCAGUUAGACCGGGCAGAAAUAGGGCUAACCCAAGCCAUGAUGCAUUUCUCAACUACGUCCACCAACGUUCAAGGUAGGAACCGGAUCCGUUAGUAUGGCGGGAAGAUUGAACUUGAACAAGUCACAAGAGCGGUUGGAUACAUUUUUUGGUGACUGAUGAAGACUUUAGGGUGUUGUUGCAUCCUAUCAACUGCAGGGAGAAAUGGGCCCUCCAAUUGUGGAAGCCAUGGAGGACGUGGAGUUCCAAAAAGAAGUGGGAGCCUUUCAAGAAAGUUUCCUUGAUUAAUAUUUUACAGAUACGCUAAGGAGGCGACUAAGGAUGAAUUUAUAAUUUGGGUUCAAGGGAGCUGACUUGUGCUCAAUAGGCCAAGUUUACUAGCUUGUCAAGAAUUUGCCAAAGCAUUUUAUCAACAGAAAGGAGAAAGCAAAACAGUUUCUGCGUGGGGCUUGGCGCGUCCAUAAAGGAUAAGAUUCCUGAAAUUUGAAUCAAAGUUUACUCGCCUACGGUUUAGCGUCGGCGGCGGCCAUCGAGAGACUUUUAAUGAGAGCUGUGAGGAAAAUUAAAAUCCUAAUUCCACAGCGUGAGGGAACUAGCAAUCAUCGGAGGGGCGUUCUUUAAGAAAGCCAAAUGACCUAUACUGUGCAACAACAGUCUCCUAACGAGGUCAUUUCACCCGCCAGAAAAAAAACAUCUGUUAUAUCUUCGGGGCCAAACACUCUCGGGGAGGUCCGAUUCUGUUUUGGUUCUGUCAUCAACGGUCAUCGUUAUAGUGGACUUCCCACCUGAAGAUCAAUCGCAGAGCGGCAGUCGCAGCAGGGGGACAAUCUCACAUCCAGGCACAGGACAAUCACUAGUCAUGGGGCCACCUACCUGCUAAUCGGUGGUGGUCAGGUGGGUCAUAUCAUCUAUAGUGCAUGCAGAGGGAGAACAUCCAGGAGCUACGGGAUCGCAACACAACCUACCGGGUCACAUUCAGCACUCGAGAGUCCUACCUCCAGUAAUUUGCCCAUCAGGCACAGACUUCAUAUCAGUGUCCAGACCCACAAGCUGUAGCUCAGCAGGGUCAGAGACGCAAGGACGGGUUUUACGCUAAUAACAUCAGUCAGGCGGGACCGUCAGGGAUAGCUGGACAGUCAGAGCAGGCAUUGGAUACCUCCCUGUUGUGCGAAGUACUUUACAUUAUGUUUACUAAGUUCGUGGGCUCCGUCGUUCUCUCGACACAGGAGCAUCAAACAUUCAUUCUCAAUCUCAUCAUCUUUUACUCUUUGGCAUUGGAUUAGAGAUUGAUGUAUUAGAUUCAGUGCUUAUGUUAGACCCUCCCCCGUUGGGGGAAGAUUCGACUUUGAAGAGAGUUUGUAGACUUCUUGUGAGGUUGAGAUAGCUGAUCGAACGUUUCGUGUUUGAUUUUAAUUGUAUUAGACAUGACUUUGUUUGACAAUCCUUGUAGGGAUUGGUUGACCGGAUAUUCGGGCCAUGAAUCGACUGGUCCGACACCGUGUUACUUUUGUCCACACCCGAAGGAGAUCUCUUUCAAUUAUGGGAAGAUCUGAGGUGGUGGUUUUGUCCCUUCGUCUACUUAUUUGCGUAAGCAAGGAGAGUGGAAUUUUCUUUUCUUUUCCUCGGCGUGCCUUGGUCGUGAGAGUAUGUAGUUAGUAUGGCCUUGCACCAGUUGUCUGUGAAUGUUUCGAGUGUCUUUCAGAGAUUUGAUGCGUUACCACCACACGGGAGAUUGAAUUUUCCAUUGAUCUUAUACUGGGCACGGCGCCCAUAUCGGUACCACCGUAAUCGUUUUGCAACCGGCAGAGCUGCAAGACCUGAAAGUUCAGAUUCAAUCGAUUUUUGGAUUAAAGGCUUUAGCCGACCUAGCGCAUCACAUGGGGAGCUUCGUCGGCUUUAUUUGCUAAGAAGAAAGAUGGAUCACUUAAGAAUGUGGCGUAGAUUAGCGGCGAUUGAAUCGUGUUGACAAUAAAGAACAAUAUCCACUUCCGAGGAUCGACGACUUGUUUGACCAAUUGAAAGGUUCGAGCUGUUUCUCGAAGAUUCGAUUUAAGUAUCAGGUUAUCAUCAAUGGCGGAUCAAAGAGGGAGAUAUGCGAAGGGACAGUUUUUCGCUCACGCUAUGGGUCAUUAUGAGUUCUUUCUGUGAUGCCUGUUUGGUCUAUAACUAAUACGCCAUCUAACUUUCAUGGAUUUGAUGAAAUCUGUAUCUCACUCCCUCUUGACCGUUUUCGUGUGUCGUAUUUGUGGAUGCAUCUUUUGACUAUCGUCAUCGGUUUGAGUCCACUGAGAGUGAGCAUUGUAAGGAUAGAUGUUUGCAGCUUUUGCGAGAACAUCACUGUAUGCUAGCUUAGCAAAUGCGAGUUUUGGUUACCUGAGGUAAAAAUUCUUAGGUCACGUUUUGUUGUCGGGGAGUGGAGUUAGCUGUUGGAUUCAUCAAGAUAGAGGGCAGUGUACUUGCAAUCAGAAUGGGUUCGUGAUACGCCGAACGAAGGGUAUUUGAUUUAGAAAGCGUUUACUCACGUCUGGCGCAGAGUCUCAGAAGAGUAGGCCGAUCGGAGUGAAACGUCAUUUGGAAGUUGCGCGUUGGGGAUCACGUAUUCUUGAGGGGUUUCACCUAGAAGCGUUUGAUGCGCUUCGGGCCAUAGCGGCAACUAUCACCAAGAUUCAUUGGUCAUCGUUUGAGAUUCUGAUCGUAAUUGGGGCCGUGGGCAUACAUCUUGCCUGCUCACCUAAGGCGGUAUGGCCAAUGUGCAUACAAUGUUUUUCAUGUACACUCCAUGUUGCGGAAAUAUGAGCCCCGAUCCUUCCCAUGUUUUUUGGAUUGGGAGAUCUUGACCGUCAAUAGAGGAUGUCACCACCUGAGGAGCGACCGAUUCACGUGUGUGGACAACGAGGGAUCAAGUUUUGCGAGAGGAAGACUAUUCAUUGGUGACGGUUCGUGGGUUCAUCAGGGCCAUAGAUGGAAGCUACAAUGGUGCAACGUGAAUCAAUAGGUUCACGCAAAAUAUAUCCGAAUCUUUUUGACACAUGCGAGGUACGUUUAUCUAAUUUCGAGGACACGAAAUUUCUAAGUGUGGAGGUUGUAAGGUUCAAUUUUUAUAUUUUUUCUAUAAAUUUUGGACUUUGCUUUGUCAUGUACUUGAGUUAAAUUGAACGAAUCAUGACUUGUGGGAUUAAAUUAAAGAGGACUUUAAAUUGAGAAUGAUCUAAUGUAAUUAAAAUUUGAGGGCUGAAGAUGUAAUUACUUUAUAAAACUAAUUGAAUCUAUGUUCUUUGGUCGCCGAAAGGCGUCGGCGCGAAAAGAAAAGAAAAAGAAAAGAAAAAGAAAAAG